rnacentral:rRNA from 1 species
CUCAAAGGAAUUGACGGGGGCCCGCACAAGCGGUGGAGCAUGUGGUUUAAUUCGAUGCAACGCGAAGAACCUUACCUACUCUUGACAUCCAGAGAACUUAGCAGAGAUGCUUUGGUGCCUUCGGGAACUCUGAGACAGGUGCUGCAUGGCUGUCGUCAGCUCGUGUUGUGAAAUGUUGGGUUAAGUCCCGCAACGAGCGCAACCCUUAUCCUUUGUUGCCAGCGAUUCGGUCGGGAACUCAAAGGAGACUGCCAGUGAUAAACUGGAGGAAGGUGGGGAUGACGUCAAGUCAUCAUGGCCCUUACGAGUAGGGCUACACACGUGCUACAAUGGCAUAUACAAAGAGAAGCGACCUCGCGAGGGCAAGCGGACCUCAUAAAGUAUGUCGUAGUCCGGAUUGGAGUCUGCAACUCGACUCCAUGAAGUCGGAAUCGCUAGUAAUCGUAGAUCAGAAUGCUACGGUGAAUACGUUCCCGGGCCUUGUACACACCGCCCGUCACACCAUGGGAGUGGGUUGCAAAAGAAGUAGGUAGCUUAACCUUCGGGAGGGCGCUUACCACUUUGUGAUUCAUGACUGGGGUGAAGUCGUAACAAGGUAAC